rnacentral:rRNA from 1 species
GUGAGGAAUAUUGGUCAAUGGGCGGAAGCCUGAACCAGCCAUCCCGCGUGGAGGAAGACGGCCCUAUGGGUUGUAAACUUCUUUUCAAGGGGAAGAAAGUUCGCGACGUGUCGCGAUUUGCCGGUACCUUUGGAAUAAGCAUCGGCUAACUCCGUGCCAGCAGCCGCGGUAAUACGGAGGAUGCGAGCGUUAUCCGGAUUUAUUGGGUUUAAAGGGUGCGUAGGCCGGCCGAUAAGUCAGCGGUGAAAUACCAUGGCCCAACCAUGGAACUGCCGUUGAUACUGUCGGUCUUGAAUAUGGUCAAGGUAGGCGGAAUGUGUAAUGUAGCGGUGAAAUGCUUAGAUAUUACACAGAACACCGAUUGCGAAGGCAGCUUACUGGUCCAUUAUUGACGCUGAGGCACGAAAGCGUGGGGAUCGAACAGGAUUAGAAACCCCAGUAGUCC